UACGUAGGGUGCAAGCGUUGUCCGGAAUUAUUGGGCGUAAAGAGCUCGUAGGCGGCUUGUCACGUCGACUGUGAAAACCCGGGGCUCAACUCCGGGCCUGCAGUCGAUACGGGCAGACUUGAGUACUGCAGGGGAGACUGGAAUUCCUGGUGUAGCGGUGGAAUGCGCAGAUAUCAGGAGGAACACCGGUGGCGAAGGCGGGUCUCUGGGCAGUAACUGACACUGAGGAGCGAAAGCGUGGGGAGCGAACAGG
rnacentral:rRNA from 1 species